CAAUAGCGUAUAUUAAAGUUGUUGCAGUUAAAAAGCUCGUAGUUGGAUUUCUGGUCUGAUGCCCUGGCCCGCGUCUUAUAGAUGUGUGUGCCGGCUGUGCGUCUGCCAUCCUUCUAGUAACCCUUCCUACCCUUCACUGGGCCGGGUUGGCGAUCUAGAUCUUUUACUUUGAAAAAUUAGAGUGUUCAAAGCAGGCUUUUGCUGUGAAUACAUUAGCAUGGAAUAAUAAUCUAGGACUUCGGUUUUAUUUUGUUUGGUUUCUUAACACUGAAGUAAUGAUUGAUAGGGAUAGUUGGGGGUUGGCUAGUAUUGGCCGGCCAGAGGUGAAAUUCUUGGAUUCGGUCAAGACUAACUUAUGCGAAGACAUUCACCAACGGAUGUCUUCUUUAAUUCAAGAACGAAAGUUGGGGGAGUCGAAGAUGAUCAGAUACCAU
rnacentral:rRNA from 1 species